rnacentral:lncRNA from 1 species
AUAAACUAAAAUUUAUCUCAUUUAUUUAGGGUUUUGGUAUACAAUAAUUUUUCCUUAUUUUUCCUGGAGUUUGUCCACUAAAGAGGGUGCAACUUUGAAGAAGUUUCCUGCAAACAGAAUGCAAAUAUUUUGGAGAUCUGAUUAAUUAUCUCGUUAAGCUUAACAAGCCACCGAUUGGAACAUGAUUAGUAGCACCCAAUGCACUAAACAUUUGGAAACUGAUUUUUCAUUUAUGAUAAAACACCGAGGACUAUCCUGAGCACCCAAUGCACUAAACAUUUGGAAGCUGAUUUUUCAUUUAUGAUAAAACACCGAGGACUAUCCUGAAUAAACAAACUUUCAAUUAUCAGACCUAUAUGUUAUCUAGCCUAGAUCUAAUAAACAUCACUGCGUAUUUUCAAAUUAAGUGUUCAUCCAAAUCCACACUGUAAUGGAGUUCUAUGAGUAGGAUCAGUGGCAUCAUUCCAAUGUUCAAGUUUACAAUGUUAGCAUAUUGCGCUGAAUUAAUUGAAUGAUCAGUAUUUGGCGUUGCUUUCAUGAAGUAGAACAUUGUUUCCUUGUCCAGAAGUGAUGUUUCCUUAUGUAGUGAUAAUACCUUUUCCAGCUUGUAAGACUUUCACUUCAAUGUCAUUUGACAG